rnacentral:rRNA from 1 species
UACGUAGGGUGCAGGCGUUAAUCGGAAUUACUGGGCGUAAAGCGUGCGCAGGCGGUUUCUUAAGUCAGAUGUGAAAGCCCCGGGCUUAACCUGGGAACUGCGUUUGAAACUGGGAGACUUGAGUGUGGCAGAGGGGGGUGGAAUUCCACGUGUAGCAGUGAAAUGCGUAGAUAUGUGGAGGAACACCAAUGGCGAAGGCAGCCCCCUGGGUCAACACUGACGCUCAUGCACGAAGGCGUGGGGAGCAAACAGG